rnacentral:rRNA from 1 species
UGCAACCUUCCUUCAAAUGGAGAAUAGCCCCUCGAAAGAGGGAUUAAUGCUCCGUAGUAUUAUAGAUAGGCAUCUAUUUGUAAUUAAAGCUCCGGCGGUUGAAGAUGGGCAUGCGUUGCAUUAGCUAGUUGGUGAGGUAAUGGCUCACCAAGGCGACGAUGCAUAGGGGAUCUGAGAGGACUAACCCCCACACUGGUACUGAGACACGGACCAG